rnacentral:misc_RNA from 1 species
UUUUGUCUAAUGGUGGCUUGCCUUGCAUUUAAGCUUGGUUGGUGGCUGUUAGGUUGGUGGCCUCGGGGAUGUCUACCGUAAAGGUGCAUGAGUGGUGUUUGGUUUGUUACGGGUGGUUGGCUCUUUGCUUGCGCAACAACUUCCACCUGGCAUACCUCUUCAGAUUUGCGUCAAUGCCUUUAUCGCAUUUACGCAUUGCGGGUUUCCUGUGUUGCAUGCCUAACUGAUGGUAUCGUUUGAUGCACUGAUGUUUUACUUCGUCUCGUGUUGCCCAUGUGAUGCGAGAUGAACCUGAAAGCAGCCUUUGUGAUCCACUUUUUCGGUUGCCUACGCAUUGAUUUUGUGGCCCAUAAAGCGUUGCUUGGCCUCAUCGAUAUGGAACGUUUUGUUGGCAUUGGAUCUUUUAUAAGUUCCUUGUUUGCCAUAUUUAUGCUUUUCAAAUACGAUUUCCUAUCACGUGCAAGCGUGUUAGGCUACAUCGAAUAUGAAUG